GAUUGUACUCCUACUGAACUCGCUGGUUUUGUCUGUGUGGCACACGAGUGUUCCACUCUCGCAGGCCCUAGAAUUUCAAGUCCUGUGAUGCAUCAGUAACUUUUGUAAUUUGUUGAAUUGUGUUGGCCUGUUUUAGUUACUUCUGUUUGUUUACUUAAGAUCUGCAAUAAACCUUCGCGUUUGUGAAAUAUUUUUUUGAUUGGUGAUAAUAGAUUUCUUGUCUAUGAUGAUAUCAUAUUAAAUUGCGCUUUAGUCUUCCUUUUUUUUUUUUUUUUGUGAAAAAUCUAGCAUCUGUCUACUUUGAUAAAUGGAGGACUCCAAUGUUAGAAGGCUCCCAAGGCCGGGAGGGCUAGGGGAAGGGGAAGGAAAAUAUAGACAGUCUUUACUCCUCAUUGAAGAUGCUGGUUUCAAGAUUCGAACUUUGGUCACCUAUAAAAGCUCAAAUCUUCUUCUACGUUGCUCGAAGGUUGCCUUCUUUGAUAUCAAAUUGAAUUGCCCUAUGGAUGAGGUGGUCAUGCAAUUCAACAAUUAUUUCAGAGCACCUGAAAAUUAUCUAUGCAUUUUAUUACUUUUGUUAGUAAACUGUUAUUGUUAUUUUUUACUUUGUGUUUAGUUGUCCUCUCAAAGACCUCUCAAUAAAUGAAAUUGCCGAAAGAUUUUCCUUUGAGUUAUUUGAAAGUUAUCCAACUUGAGUUAUGAGAGUAUGAAUCGUUUUUUUUUUUUUCAUCAGAAGAAAAAGAAAGACUUAAAUCUUUAAUUUAUUUGAUCAUUUUAUGGACCCAGUGUCAUUUCUUAGAUUGAAUUCCAUACAGAGACAAAACCUUUUUGGUCUUCUCUUCACUUCCUUGACCAUAGACGUUUUACUGGACUUUAAAGGUUGCUGGGUUUGCAGGAGAAGAUCAGCUAGGGCAGGCUCUGGAAGGAUGUGAUGUGAUCAUCAUUCCUGCUGGUGUGCCCCAAAAACCGGGUAUGAUCCGUGAUGAUCUGUUCAACAUUAAUGCUGGCAAUUGUUAAAUCAUAUGCACAGCUAUCGCAAAUUAUUGCCCUCAUCCACCCUGUGAACUCCACUGUGCCAACUGCCACUGAGGUGUUCAAGAAGGCUGGGAGCUAUGAUGAAAAGAGACUCUCUGGAGUCAACACACUUGAUGUGGUUCCGAACUUUCUAUGCUGGAAAAGCUAAAGUCAAUGUCUCCGGCCACUCCGAAGGCAAAUUUUGUCAGAUGAAGAAACCGUGGCACUCAUCAAGCGAACCAAGGAGGGUGGCACAGAGGUUGUGGAGGCUAAACCUGGAAAGGGUUCAGCCACCCUCUCAGUGGCGUAUGUUUCUAGUUAUGCUCUUUAUCUUAGUUUUUGAGAGUUUUCUAAAUUUCUCGGAGUUGGACGUUGGCAAGAAUAUUUUGAGAUUUUGGUGAGAGUACUUGCUUUACUGCCUACUGCUGGCUGGAACUAAAUCAUCAGACUUUGCACUACAGAUGCUCCAAUACUAGGCUAUGUUUUGAAAUAUUCUCAUAAUUCUAGUAUGCGUCAUGAUGUUAACUUGAAA